GGCCUGGUGACUUUUGCAGAGUGAUUAGACCCGAUCCCAUCCCGAACUCGGCCGUCAAACGCUUUAGCGCCAAUGGUACUAUGUCUUAAGACCUGGGAGAGUAGGUCGUUGCCAGGCCU
rnacentral:rRNA from 1 species